AUAAAUGAAAUUAUUUUAAAUAAUAUUAAGAUUUGUAGCUAUAUUAAUGUAUUGGCAGACACAUCUAUAGUACAAAUUUAAUUGUGAACGUUAUUGUUAUGUUAUUUUUAAAGUUUUAAAUGACAAAGAACGGAUGUUACCUCGUUGUUUAUUAAGAGGUUCACAGAGACGACUAUAGGCUAUACAGUUCUAGUUAAUGUCAAAGCAGCAGCUUCAAUUCAAUUAAUUGACAUAAAAAUAUGCAAUAAUAUACGGGAGGAACUUGAGAAGGAUUUUACAAAGAAUGUAUUCUUCACAAUCAAAUUCAAAGUUACCCAUCAUCCUUGGGUACUGGGACUGUAUAGGAAUCGGUCAAAAAGUUACUAGAUUAUUAGUAGGAGAUGAAGUUUGAUGGUUGACUGUAGAAGAAAACCAAAUAAUGCUGGAUUUGAAAGGGCUUGCAAUCUUGAGUUUCAGCAACGAUUUUCGUGAAAAUCCAAUUUUCUUGUUUGAUUCCUAAUGAAAGUGUUUUUGUAGCACCUGUCA